rnacentral:rRNA from 1 species
GACGAACGCUGGCGGCGUGCUUAACACAUGCAAGUCGAACGGAAAGGCCCUGCUUUUGUGGGGUGCUCGAGUGGCGAACGGGUGAGUAACACGUGAGUAACCUGCCCUUGACUUUGGGAUAACUUCAGGAAACUGGGGCUAAUACCGGAUAGGAGCUCCUGCUGCAUGGUGGGGGUUGGAAAGUUUCGGCGGUUGGGGAUGGACUCGCGGCUUAUCAGCUUGUUGGUGGGGUAGUGGCUUACCAAGGCUUUGACGGGUAGCCGGCCUGAGAGGGUGACCGGCCCCAUUGGGACUGAGGUACGGCCCAGACUCCUACGGGAGGCAGCAGUGGGGAAUAUUGCAAAAUGGGCGGAAGCCUGAUGCAGCAACGCCGCGUGCGGGAUGACGGCCUUCGGGUUGUAAACCGCUUUCGCCUGUGACGAAGCGUGAGUGACGGUAAUGGGUAAAGAAGCACCGGCUAACUACGUG